ACUUUCUGAACUCACACCUGUAUUUUUCCGUCCUGUUAAUUCAACCGACGGCACUCUUAAAACUUACUUCUGUGCUGAUGAAACGAGGUUACCUUCUUUCAUUAUUAACUCCCAUUACCUUCUUUCAUUAUUAACUCCCAUUUAUUCAAUUGCUAAAUGCGUUUAUAUAUGAAGAUUAUCCUAAUCAAAUUAUGAACAUUAAUGCAGAUCAUCAAAGGCUCCUGAUGUCUUUAAGCAAGUUUAUGGAAGUACUGUUCCAGUGCUCGAAGGUGAAAAGUUGGGCAUGAGGGUGCUGGUAAGUGAUGAAUUUGUACAACAAUGGCUUUUGAAAGUUUGUUUAGUUAAUUAGCAAAUAUUGAUGCAGG
rnacentral:lncRNA from 1 species